rnacentral:rRNA from 1 species
UACGUAGGGUGCAAGCGUUUAAUCGGAAUUACUGGGCGUAAAGCGUGCGCAGGCGGUUGUGCAAGACAGGUGUGAAAUCCCUCGGCUUAACCGGGGAACUGCGUCUGAUACUGGAUGGCUUGAGUUUGGGGAGAGGGAUGCGGAAUUCCAGGUGUAGCGGUGAAAUGCGUAGAUAUCUGGAGGAACACCGGUGGCGAAGGCGGCAUCCUGGACCAACACUGACGCUGAGGAGCGAAAGCCAGGGGAGCAAACAGG